rnacentral:tRNA from 1 species
CUGCCCAUAGCUCAGUUGGAUAGAGCAGCGGUCUUCUAAACCGCAGGUCGGGGGUUCGAUUCCCUCUGGGCAGACCA